GUUAACAAAGUGUUCCGCAUUUAAAAUAAUGAAAAUAACAUAUUAUUGACUUUGAAAAGAAAAAAAAACAAGAAAAAGCAAGACAAUAAAAACUGGAUUUUGUGAGAGAUUUUAAAAGUUGUUAAGUUUUAAGAAGUGUUAGAGUAAAUAAACAAUUGAAAUACCAUAUCAGAUAUUAGACCAAAGAAAAACGAAUAUAAGUGUGGUUAAACUCAGCUUAGUAUGGAGAUCUUUUUUUGGAAAAUAACUAAUUCAGGAACAAAAUUUCGAGGGUUUAGAUUCAAA
rnacentral:lncRNA from 1 species